CGGAGUGUGGCGCAGUUGGUAGCGCGCAGCGUUCGGGUCGCUGAGGCCGUGGGUUCAAGUCCCACCACUCCGACCA
rnacentral:tRNA from 1 species